rnacentral:rRNA from 1 species
UACGAAGGGGGCUAGCGUUGUUCGGAAUUACUGGGCGUAAAGGGCGCGUAGGCGCUCGCUAAGUCGAACGUGAAAUCCCUGGGCUCAACCCAGGAACUGCGUCCGAUACUGGUUGGCUUGAAUCCGGGAGAGGGAUGUGGAAUUCCAGGUGUAGCGGUGAAAUGCGUAGAUAUCUGGAGGAACACCGGUGGCGAAGGCGACAUCCUGGACCGGUAUUGACGCUGAGGCGCGAAAGCCAGGGGAGCAAACGGGG